rnacentral:rRNA from 1 species
AGUAUAAGCAAUUAUACCGUGAAACUGCGAAUGGCUCAUUAAAUCAGUUAUCGUUUAUUUGAUAGUACCUACCAACUACUUGGAUAACCGUGGUAAUUCUAGAGCUAAUACAUGCUAAAAACCCCGACUUCGGGAGGGGUGUAUUUAUUAGAUAAAAAACCAAUGCCCCUCGGGGCUCCUUGGUGAAUCAUAAUAACUUAACGGAUCGCAUGGCCUUGCGCCGGCGACGGUUCAUUCAAAUUUCUGCCCUAUCAACUUUCGAUGGUAAGGUAUUGGCUUACCAUGGUUUCAACGGGUAACGGGGAAUUAGGGUUCGAUUCCGGAGAGGGAGCCUGAGAAACGGCUACCACAUCCAAGGAAGGCAGCAGGCGCGCAAAUUACCCAAUCCCGACACGGGGAGGUAGUGACAAUAAAUACUGAUACAGGGCUCUUUUGGGUCUUGUAAUCGGAAUGAGUACAAUUUAAACCCCUUAACGAGGAACAAUUGGAGGGCAAGUCUGGUGCCAGCAGCCGCGGUAAUUCCAGCUCCAAUAGCGUAUAUUAAAGUUGUUGCAGUUAAAAAGCUCGUAGUUGAACCUUGGGCCUGGCUGGCCGGUCCGCCUCACCGCGUGUACUGGUCCGGCCGGGCCUUUCCUUCUGGAGAGCCGCAUGCCCUUCACUGGGUGUGUCGGGGAACCAGGACUUUUACUUUGAAAAAAUUAGAGUGUUCAAAGCAGGCCUUUGCUCGAAUACGUUAGCAUGGAAUAAUAGAAUAGGACGUGCGGUCCUAUUUUGUUGGUUUCUAGGACCGCCGUAAUGAUUAAUAGGGAUAGUCGGGGGCAUCAGUAUUCAAUUGUCAGAGGUGAAAUUCUUGGAUUUAUUGAAGACUAACUACUGCGAAAGCAUUUGCCAAGGAUGUUUUCAUUAAUCAGUGAACGAAAGUUAGGGGAUCGAAGACGAUCAGAUACCGUCGUAGUCUUAACCGUAAACUAUGCCGACUAGGGAUCGGGCGAUGUUUCUAUCUUGACUCGCUCGGCACCUUACGAGAAAUCAAAGUUUUUGGGU